rnacentral:rRNA from 1 species
CCUGGCUCAGGACGAACGCUGGCGGCGUGCCUAAUACAUGCAAGUCGAACGAACCGCGACUGAGUGCUUGCACUUGGUCAAGGUGAGUGGCGAACGGGCGAGUAACACGUGGGUAACCUACCUCAUAGUGGGGGAUAACAGUCGGAAACGACUGCUAAUACCGCAUAGGACAUGGGAUCACAUGAUUCCGUGAGGAAAGGUGGCGCAAGCUAUCGCUAAGAGAUGGACCCGCGGUGCAUUAGCUAGUUGGUAGGGUAACGGCCUACCAAGGCAAUGAUGCAUAGCCGACCUGAUAAUGUGAUCGGCCACAUUGGGACUGAGACACGUCCCAAACUCCUACGG